rnacentral:tRNA from 1 species
GCGCGUGUAGCUCGAGCGGCAGAGCAGCGGCCUCUUAAGCCGAACGGUGCGGGUUCGAGCCCCGCCGCGCGCACCA